rnacentral:rRNA from 1 species
GGAUGAACGCUGGCGGCGUGCUUAACACAUGCAAGUCGAACGGUGAACACGGAGCUUGCUCUGUGGGAUCAGUGGCGAACGGGUGAGUAACACGUGAGCAACCUGCCCCUGACUCUGGGAUAAGCGCUGGAAACGGCGUCUAAUACUGGAUAUGUGACGUGAUCGCAUGGUCUGCGUCUGGAAAGAAUUUCGGUUGGGGAUGGGCUCGCGGCCUAUCAGCUUGUUGGUGAGGUAAUGGCUCACCAAGGCGUCGACGGGUAGCCGGCCUGAGAGGGUGACCGGCCACACUGGGACUGAGACACGGCCCAGACUCCUACGGGAGGCAGCAGUGGGGAAUAUUGCACAAUGGGCGCAAGCCUGAUGCAGCAACGCCGCGUGAGGGAUGACGGCCUUCGGGUUGUAAACCUCUUUUAGCAGGGAAGAAGCGAAAGUGACGGUACCUGCAGAAAAAGCGCCGGCUAACUACGUG